rnacentral:tRNA from 1 species
GGAAGAGUGUCUAAGUGGUUUAAGGAACUGGUCUUGAGAACCAGCGACGGUGCAAGCCGUUCUUGGGUUCGAAUCUCACCUCUUCCG